rnacentral:tRNA from 1 species
GCCUCGAUAGCUCAGCUCGGCUAGAGCGUCGCCUUGGUAAGGCGAAGGUCGCGGGUUCGAAUCCCGCUCGAGGCU